rnacentral:lncRNA from 1 species
GCACCAGGCCUUUGGGUCUGCAAUGAUUAUUGAGUUAAUGGACUCAUUAUCAAACACCUUAAUGGGAGGCUAUGACUCAGUUAUCUCCAUAACUUUGUCAUUUUAAGGACCUAAUAAUUUUAGAAGAUUUAAUAUUAUUAGUGAUUUAAGGAUAGAAAGGACAUGGACCAAUUUGCUCCCACUGACUUCACCAAGUCAAGUCCUCCCACUGACUUCCCAAGUCAU